GGAUAUGAGGGCGAUAUGGCCAUAACACCCACCACCCCACUGAUCGCCAGAGUUGGUUUGGCUAAUCUUGCCACUUAGAUAAAUGUCCCAAAUGUCCCCUGCCUCCCUCACUGGUCCAUCUGCGUCCCUCCGAAAGCUGCACCCUGUUCUGAGAACCAUUCUCCAGUCAAAAGUGUAUGAGUAGUGCGCUCCCUGCUAGAGCUCUCAGGCUGCAUGUGUAGGGGAACACGAGCUAGCCAAACUUCCAAGACUGCAGACACAGCAAACAGGGCACUGCAGGUGCUAAUCAGCCUUU
ensembl:misc_RNA 7SK 7SK RNA